rnacentral:rRNA from 1 species
AUUGAACGCUGGCGGCAUGCCUUACACAUGCAAAUCGAACGGCAGCACGGGAGCUUGCUCCUGGUGGCGAGUGGCGAACGGGUGAGUAAUAUAUCGGAACGUACCCUAGAGUGGGGGAUAACGCAGCGAAAGUUGCGCUAAUACCGCAUACGAUCUACGGAUGAAAGUGGGGGAUCGCAAGACCUCAUGCUCAUGGAGCGGCCGAUAUCUGAUUAGCUAGUUGGUGGGGUAAAGCCUACCAAGGCAUCGAUCAGUAGCUGGUCUGAGAGGACGACCAGCCACACUGGAACUGAGACACGGUCCAG